rnacentral:snRNA from 1 species
UCCGUUAUUUUUCGCCAAAAACG